rnacentral:ncRNA from 2 species
GUUUAUCUUCAGGGGCAGGGUGAAAAUCCCGACCGGCGGUAAAAGUCCGCGACCUGCAUUUAUGCAGUUGAUUUGGUGUAAUUCCAAAACCGACAGUAAAGUCUGGAUAAAGAAGAUAGGG